rnacentral:lncRNA from 1 species
UCUGUAACUGCCCUUAGGUUGUGUUAACUGCCGGCAGCUGGGAUUCUAACUGUUUACUUUGUGUCCAGAAGUCUGUGGCUCUCUGGCUUUUUCACUUGGCUGGCUGCAGUUUCAUGGCUCUGACCUCAGAUCUCUAGCUGUCUCACUGUCAGAGUACCUCACUUCCCAGUUGCCUUUCCUCUGUCUUUUUUGACUGAGCCUUUUUAAGAACUACACUUUUUUUUUUGCUCCUGACCUAAUGACCUCAGUGCUAUCCUAGAUGACCACUUCUCACCCAAGAUCCCAUAACAUUUCAAAGCUGUAUGAGAUGGUUCCCUGCUUGCUAAGAUGAGCUCCAGAACCCUGUGGAAACAAAUUUGAUGAUCAAUGAUGAAAUGAAGGCGAUUCUGGAAAGUGCUCAGUCCACCCCAGUAUCUUCACCUGAGCAUUCUACUUUGUUGACUGGAUCUGGCUCAUCAAGGGCUGAGGAAGUUCUUCAGGCAGAAUGAGGAAGAUACAUAGAUGAACUAUCUGGAUAAGGAAAAGAGGAAGAACAUUUGAGACAAAUGGAUAGCUGGCAUGAAGUUUCCUCUUCUCCAGAACUAAGGGCUGCCACCUGUUCAGAGAACAAGUUCACUCUGGCUAGAAGUACAACACCUGGUCCCCUUUCCUU